rnacentral:rRNA from 1 species
CAAAACUCAAAAAAUAGAUCUCAGUUCGGACUGUAGGCUGCAACUCGCCUACACGAAGUUGGAAUUGCUAGUAAUCGUGGAUCAGCAUGCCACGGUGAAUACGUUCCCGGGUCUUGUACACACCGCCCGUCACACCAUGGGAGCUGGUAACACCCGAAGUCAGUAGUCUAACCGCAAGGAGGACGCUGCCGAAGGUGGGAUUAGCGACUGGGGUGAAGUCGUAACAAGGUAAC